rnacentral:pre_miRNA from 1 species
AGUGGGAUAGCUGGGUCAUGUGACCAAUCCAUUCCUAGUUUUUUGAGGAAUCUCCAGACUGCUUUCCAGAGUGGUUACACCAAUUUGCAGUCCUACCAACAAU